rnacentral:lncRNA from 1 species
AUCUUUUUUCCAGCAACACAACAUCAACACAACAACAACACAACAAUCUCUUCUUCUCUUCUUUCCUGGUUGUUCCAAUCCAUCCCCUUCUCAUCAAUUUUCAAUUUUUGGAUCAAGCAUCAACAACACAUCAAUUACAACACAUCAUUAACAACAACAACAACACAAAAUUCUUCUUUAACCCAAUUCCAAACCAGAAAAACAAAAUCAAAUGAAAUUUGAUUCGGAAACAACAACAACUUCAACGUAAAACAACAACAACAACUUCUUUAAAAACAAAUCAUCAAAUUAAAAAUCAACCCAGAUUGCUUCCUCUUCCAAUCGAAAAUCAAACCCAAGUGGUUAAAAAUCAAUUCCAUGUAUGAAGAAUCAAAAACCCAUAUUCAAAAAUUCUCUCUUUCAAAAUUCGAAAAUCCUCUCUUUCAAUUUCUUGACUGUGUUGCUGUUUCUUGAUUGGAGGGGUGGAGGGUAUGAUCUGGAAGAAAAGAAAUAGAGAGAAGAGAAAAGAGAAGAGAAGGAAGAAGAAAAGGAAUAACAAAAAGAGAGAAAGUGGGAUAGAAUAGAAGGAAGAAGAGAAUAGAGAAGAGAAUGAUGAAGAUAAUAGAAGGAAGAAGAAAAGAAAGAAGAUAAACAGAGAAGGUGGGAGAUAAGAGAAGGAAGAAGAGAGAAGGGGAUUACGCUGGAGAAGAAGAGAGAAAAAGAAAUGAGAUUUUUUUUUUUUUAAUUUAUCAUUAAGGGUAUUUUAGGUAUUUCAUCUUUUUAACAUAAUUUUAAAAAUUAAAAAUUAUGACGUGUCAAUGCCAUUUCACCAAUUACUACACAGUCAGCGUGCCACAUCAGCUCAUUAAUCCAGUCAGAUGACAUCAGGGGUGUAAACCAAAGAAUCUUCAUUUUACAAGGGGAUUACACUCACAAAAUGAGGUGUACCAGUACUCCUGCUUCUUAAUUUUAUAAAUGAACAAUAAUAUUUUAUGUAGUAAAUAGCUAUUUGUCAAUAUUUAUAUUUUAUAGAACAACAUUUCAUAAUAAAAAACAUUAUUUAAUUAUUU